rnacentral:rRNA from 1 species
GGCAUGCCUAUUCGAGCGUCAUUUCAACCCUUAAGCCUAGUUGCUUAGUGUUGGGAAUCUGCCCUGUAUUUAUAGGGCAGUUCCUUAAAGUGAUCGGCGGAGUUAGGGCAUACUCUAAGCGUAGUAAUAUUCUUCUCGCUUCUGUAGUUGUCCUGGCGGCUUGCCGUUAAACCCCUAUAUUUCUAGUGGUUGACCUCGGAUUAGGUAGGAAUACCCGCUGAACUUAAGCAUAUCAAUAAGCGGAGGAAAAGAAACCAACAGGGAUUGCCCUAGUAACGGCGAGUGAAGCGGCAACAGCUCAAAUUUGAAAUCUGGCCCUAGCGGUCCGAGUUGUAAUUUGUAGAGGAUGCUUUUGGUUAGGUGCCUUCUGAGUUCCCUGGAACGGGACGCCAGAGAGGGUGAGAGCCCCGUACGGUUGGACACCGAGCCUCUAUAUAGCUCCUUCGACGAGUCGAGUAGUUUGGGAAUGCUGCUCUAAAUGGGAGGUAAAUUUCUUCUAAAGCUAAAUACCGGCCAGAGACCGAUAGCGCACAAGUAGAGUGAUCGAAAGAUGAAAAGUACUUUGAAAAGAGGGUUAAAUAGCACGUGAAAUUGUUGAAAGGGAAGCGUUUGCGACCAGACUUUUUCCAGGCGGAUCAUCCGGUGUUCUCACCGGUGCACUUCGCCUGGUUUAGGCCAGCAUCGGUUCUCUUAGGGGGAUAAAGGCCUGGGGAACGUAGCUCCUUCGGGAGUGUUAUAGCCCCUAGCGUAAUACCCUUCGGGGGACCGAGGAACGCGC